rnacentral:piRNA from 1 species
UAGUCCUUGGAAGUGACUAGGUGUUUGU